UUGAGCCGUGUGCGGGGUAACUCGCAAGCACGGUUCUGAGGGGGCGGGGCAGCGGUAACGCUGCCCUGCUACCCGAC
rnacentral:ncRNA from 1 species